UUUGCCCAGGAAAUUUAUUCUUUUGCCAAUAUAGCUAAGGGCCACACACCAAGAAAGAUCGAAAAUCCUCUCUGUCAUAAUAUAAAAUCUACACUUGACCAACUAAAUCCACCACCGCAGCGGCACCGACACCACCAAUGUUGGCCUCGUGUUCUUCAAUGGAAAACUCCUCGUCAUGUUAAAGGACAACCUUCCCUACGAGCUUUGAAUCACCGCCUUCGGCGACCUCGAAACAAUUAGUCAUUACAGCUUCCACGACCAACUCAAUUCCUCCAUGUUCGCACAUCUGAAGGUUGAUUUAGGCUGAGCUAUGAUGUCACGAGCAAGUUCCUGAGGUACUUCCGUUCCUCGUCGUCGGACGUCGAAAUACCCCUCAGCGCUCCGACAAUGACGCACGACUUCACAAUCACAGGGAAUUUUGUUUACUUUUGGACUUCGGAUGUAUGGCUUUGGUUCCAAGAAGACUCUUAUUGAAGAUUUUGCUUGUGAAGAUGUUGAAAGUUUUUUGAGGUUACAUACUUACAUUGGAUCCUACCUCUAUGGGUUUGCAUCAGACAGGUUCGGUCGGUUUCAAACCAAAAAAUGCUUAUCCAAUGUAAAUUGACCAUCAAUUUUUCUGGACCGAGCUUGACUGUGUAUUUAUUUGGUUUGGUUGUGUUGUAGAUUGAUAACGACAAAAUUUAAGUUUAUUCAAUAGUUAAAAAGUGAUUAGAAUGAAUUGAUUUCCUCUAAAUUACUGUUGGUUUUAAUAGAAUAAUGAAAAUUUUAAUUCUUGACUAGCAGGAUUCAAAAGAAGAAAAAUUGAAAGAAAAUUGAUGCAAAAACAUGAUGAAAAAGACUUAGCGUGAAGAAGGCAUCUCGCUUAGUGCACAAGACAGUCCCAACAUGACACCUUGCUCAACGACCAUCCCAAGCUUAGCACAAAGAAGGCCCACGAAGAAGCCCAAAGGUGUGCUUAGCACAAAUUCACGCUAAGCGCAUAAUCACCGCCAUACUUGUUAAGCCCAAAAGGUCCGCUUAGCACGAGGUCGCAUGGAUUUUAAGCUACCUUAGACCUAUAAGGAGUAGGAAGAAAAGGAGAAAGACACACCGAGACUUAGAGCUCUCUAAUGAAUAUAUCCAAAGCCUGAGUAUCUCAGAUAUGGGAAACCCUCUUUCUAUAUCCAUUAUCCCUUUCUCCUCCUCUAUCCAUUCCUCUUCUUCUUCUAUCCCCAUCAACCCCUAACCUAAAAUGUAAAACCUCUCGUGACUAUGAGAGGCUAAACUCCUAUUGUUGGGAGCUUAGCAGCUAAACUCUUGUAAUGUAACUCUUCCCUACUAUCUAUUUAAUGCAAUUCUGGUUUU